GUGAUGGUGAUGUGUUUGUACAUCUUACUUUUCUGAACAUUCUUGCUGCUUACAAUUAUCUCUAUCUAUAAUGAACUUGGCCCAGUAGUUUCAGUGGAAAAUGUUAGUAAAAAUUUACAAAUUUUAUGAAAAUUGUUAAAAAUUGACUAUCAAGGACAAUAACUCCUUAGGGGUCAAUUGACCAUUUUGGUCAUGUUGACUUAUUUUUAGGUCUUACUUUGCUGUACAUUAUUGCUGUUUACAGUUUAUCUCUAUCUAUAAUACUAUUCAAGAUAAUAACAAACUAGAGGCUCUAAAGAGCCUGUGUCGCUCACCUUGGUCUAUGUGAAUAUUAAACAAAGGAAGCAGAUGGAUUCAUGACAAAAU
rnacentral:lncRNA from 1 species